GGACAUGGUUUAGUGGGAGCUAUUGGUAAUAGGUGAACAGUUGGACUGGAUGAUCCUUUAGGUCUUUUCCAACCUUGGUGAUUCUAUGAUUCUAUAAACAAUACAGAGAGCACAGUAGCACUAUUAGAGCAAAUUCCAAUCUAUGAAACACUCUUUCAACAUAGUCACUACCAUUAUCUAUGCAUUUUACCAGCUAUGAAUAAGAAGAGCCUGCAUGCAGCACACUUAAAAGUCUGCACCAGGGGAGGUGGCCCACUGUCAUUGGUGCUGAAAUGCACAGUGUCAGUGUGCUCAUGUUCACUGUUUGGUUUCUAUAAAUGUUCAGCAGGCAUUUGUCAUGGUUUUGUUAUUUUAUCAGUGGGUGCCAUUUUUUCUGAAUGGAGAAAUUCAGUUCCACUUCUUUGUUUCAUCUGCACUUCUAUAUCAAACACCAUUUUGUCUGCUGCCAUCUUUCACAAAGCAACAAAAGGGAAUGGAAUAUUGGUGGGAAGGUUCAACCUCUAUACCACCUAUUACUAUACUACCAACAUCUGCUUCUGAUGUGGGCCAACAUAAUACAUAAUAGGAGGCACUGUUUUCAGAGCAGCCCUCAAAAUAUAGUUAAUGUAUGUAAGCAACAAAACUUAUUUUAAUUUUAAUGUUUUUGUUUGUUUAUUUGUUUUUGUUGUUGUUGUUUAUUAUUAAAACAUUAAAAAAGAGCAAGGAAAACCUAAAAACAGUAGAAUAGGUAAACUUGCUUUCAUAAAACUGAUAAAUUGCUGUAGUUCAGUGGCAGAGGUUGCAAUCCUUAGUGAGCUCUCAAGGUUCUCAUUGGAUAUUUUUGGUGAAAUGUUAUUCUUCUUGUAUUUCAUCUUCGACAACAGUUGCUUACAAAUGUGCAAACUGCCAAAAGUGAUUACAGGGAUCAGGUGUGAUGGGGAAGCAAAGGGUAUUUCUCUCUCAUAAAACAGGUCUUACAGAAGUUGGAUAAAGAGACUUGAUCACAUUUUUGAUUGCACCUCCAUACACUCUAUUCGAAAAUUUGCAAGUAGUGUGUUUAACUGAAAAUGGGGUUGCAAAUAAUAAUUACAAAAGAAAAAAAAAAAAAAAAAAAAAAGAAAAAAAGUCUUUUUAGCUAUUUUGAAACCUAGUCUCAAAUUCCUGUAUCGAAACAGAAAGCACAGAUGCAUAUUUUUUUGCUGCUCACAGGACUGUGUUUAGCCCAGGUAUCACAAUACGUACAAUUAAUUGGCAUAAAUUGAGUUGGCAUUGCACUGUGCCCUCCUUGUGUCCUGGUUUCAGCCCAGAUGAAACCACAGCCACAGACGGCAGUACUGCACCAAUAGAGAUGCCUUACUCCCCAUUCAUAAGCUGAUUCACCAACUAGUGGAAGUGAUCAGCAAAACUCACUCAACUUUUGACAGCCCCAUGUGGCCAGUGUGUAAAGCCAGUGAAGAAUGGUCGCUGAUGGCAGACUACUGUGGCCUGAAUUAAGUCAGACCUCCACUGAGUGCUGCUGUGCCAGACAUGUUAGAACUGCAGAAUGAACUGGAGUCGAAAGCAGCCAAGUGGUAUGCCACCACUGACAUUGCUAAUGCCUUCUUUUCCAUUCCUUUGGCCACAAACUGUGGGCCACAAUUUUUCUUCACCUGGAGAGGCAUUCAGUAUACCUGGAACCGUUUGCCACAGGAGUGGAAACACAGACCAACCCAUUUGCCAUGAGUUGAUCCAAACUGUACUGGAACAGGGUGGUGCUCCUGAGUACCUGCAGUACAUUGAUGACAUUGUUGUGUGGGGCGAUACAGCAGAAGAAGUUUUCCAGAAAGGAAAAUUUCCCAAUUCUUCUGCAAGCUGGUUUCACUAUUAAGCAAAGCGAAGUGACAGGACCUGCCCAGAUAAUUCAGUUCCUUAGGUAUAAAGUAGCAAGACAGACAUCAUCACAUCCCAGCGGAUGUGAUUGAUAAAAUCACUGCUAUGUCUCAGCCACUAAUAAGAAAGAGACCCAGUCUUUUCUGGGUGUAGUGGGCUUUUGGAAAAUGCAUGUUCUAAACCACAGCCUCAUUGUGAAGGUGAAGCUGAGGUAUAAUUUUGCAUGGGGAUUUUGAUCAGAUUAAACAGAAGAUAGCCCAUGCCAGUACGGAUGGGACAGGAUGUAAAGAACAUCCUCUACACUGCUGCUGAAGAAGAAAGUCCCACUUUGAGUUUGCGGCAAAGAGCCUCAGAAGUGACCCGAGGCCGACCCCUGGGAUUUUGGAGUUGAGCGUAGAAGAGGUCUAAAGAGUGCUACACUCCAACUGAGAAGGAGAUCUUAGCUGCGUAUGAAGGGGUUCGGACUGCUUCUGAAGUAGUUGGAACUGAAACGCAGCUCCUUCUGGCAUCUUGACUGCCAGUGCUGAACUGGAUGUUUAAAGGAAAGGUUCUCUCCACCCAUCAUGCUACCAAUGCCACCUGGAGUUGCUGAUUAUGCAAAGAGCUCAGAAGGAGAACCUCAGCUGUCCAGGAAUCCUAGAGGUGACCAUGGACUGACUUGAAGGUAAAAAGUUUGGAACAUCACCAACAGAAGAGGUAUCACAAGCUGAAGAGGCCCCACCAUAAAGUGAACUUCCAGAAAAUAAAAAGAAAUAUGCCCUGUUCACUGAUGGAUCAUGUUGCAUUGUGGGGAAGCGUUGCAGAUGGAAAGCUGAUGUGUGGAGCCCCACAUAAUAAACUGCAGAGGCCAUGGAAGGAAAAGAAUCAAGACAGUUUGAAGAGGUAAAGGCUGUCCAGCUGGCCUUGGAUGUUGCUGAAUGGGAGAGGUGGGCAACGCUUCUAUCUUUAUAUUGACUCAUGGAUGGUGGCAAAUGACAUAUGGGGGUGGUUUCAGCAGUGGAAUCAAAACUACUGGAAAAGAAGGGCUAAACCUAUUUAGGCUGCUGAACUGUGGAAAGACAUUGCUUCCUGAAUAAGGAAUAUGUUGUAGAGGUGUGUUGUGUAGAUACUCAUGUGCACAAGAGUUGGGCUACUGAAGAACAGCAAAAUAACCACCAGGUAGAUCAAGCUGGCAGAAUUAAAGUGGCUCAGAUAGACUUCUACUGGCAACACAAGUGUGAAUUAUUUUUGGCUCAGUGGGCCCAUGAGAUCUUGGGCCAUCAUGAAAGAGAUGCAACUUACAAAUGGGCUAGAGACCAAGGAGUGGACAUAUCAAUGGACAUUAUUGACUGUGACACAUGCACCACAGUUAAACAAGCCAAGAGGAUGUAACCUCUCUGGGAGGAAGGGCAAUGGCUUAGGUAUAAAUAUGGGGAGGCAUGGCAGGUUAAUUAUAUCACCUUGCCAUGAUCUCAUGAUAGUGUUAUGUGCUCACAAUGGUGGAGGUAGCCAUUGGGUGGCUUGAAACAUAUGCAGCACCCCAUGCUAAUGCUACCACCUUAAAUAUUAGGUCUCAAGAAACAAGUCCUGUAGCUACACAGUGCUCCAGAAAAAACUGAAUCACAUAAUGGGACUCAUUUCAAAAGUUCUCUUGUAAAUACUAGGGCCAAAGAUCAUGGCAUUGAGUGGAUUUAUCAUAUCUCCUACCAUGCUCCAGCUUCUGGUAAAACUGAACAAUAAAAUGGAUUGUUUUUAACAAUGUUGAAAGCAGUGGGUGGCAGAACAUUUAGGCACUGGAAGAAACAUUUGGCAGAAGCCAAAGGUCCCUGUAGUACAUCUAAAUAACAUUCUGAGUAAAGCAAUUUGGGUCUUUCCAGCUUCUGGAAAGGGCAACCCUCUCCAUGGAACUGGUUUUGCUCAGGGACCUGGGUGCACUUGGUGGGUGAUGGAGAAAAAUGGGGACGUCCAGUGUGUACCACAAGGGAAUUUGAUGCUGGGGGAGUGCAGUCAGUGAUUUCAUGUAUAUAUAUUUUUGUGUGUGUGUGUGCAUGUGUUUUAUGCUUGUUAAUUAUUAUUUAUUUAUGUAUAUUAAACAUGAUGUAGCAAUGUGGAAUAAAGGGUGGAAUGUCAUGGUUUUAUGAUUUUUGGUUGUUCGUAUUCCACAUCAUAACAUCGUGUAUGCACUGGGAGCUCAAAGGUUAAUGCUCCAGUUCCGGGCACAUGUCCCAGAAGAGAAGAACUACAUCCACCAGAGAACUUUGCAUUCAGAGAGGAGAUAAAACACCUGGCAAAGUCACGAGACCUGGCUCUCUUCCCUUCUGCUUGCCCUGACUGCAUAUCUUGCCUCAGCAUUAGAGUAAGGCCUGCAGUUUUCAGACACUCUCUGUUGUUUAAUUUAAUUCUAAUUAUAUUGUAUCAUACUGUAUUAUAGUAUGUUAUCUUUCAUUCCGAUAUCAUAUUUAGUAAAUUAUUUUGUUUCUCCUCAGAUUGUUGCCACAUGGAUCUGUGGGCUUCUUCACUGCACUAGUCACAGAACUGGGCCAAACCAGCCCAUAAACUAUUGACACAUCUACAAAAAGUGGGAUGGAAACCAGUACAGCAGCUACUUUAAAUGAUUGGACAAUGGUUAAGGAUACUAAUUAGCAUGAUUAAGAAUCAUUGUGAUAUUGAAUCCUAGUCUAAGCCCAUUUCCUUGUGGGAGACAUAAGGAUGGGUGAGAUGAAUAAUAAAAUCCAAGCUAAAGAUGAAAUGUUCUGUAGGAAAGAACAUAUCCUCAAGUCCUAGACCAGUGGUGAAACUUAGAGAUACAUUCUGCCUCUUCCAGUCCCCCACCAAGUUGUGCUGGUGACAGUGCUACUGGAUGGGUGGCCUUCCAACCCAGACACAUCACCUGGGCUGGUCGUGAGCCUGCAGAGCAGGAUAGUGAAGUACAGUCCUGAGUCAAAUCUUCUGACUUGAUAAGGGUUACAAUCCAAGCACUGCCUUGAAUUUGGGUUCCAAUCACACCGCAUUGAGGCUAGCAAGUUUGUGUAUUAAUUCAAUCUGUCAGCUCACUAGGGAUACAGGACAACGCUUGUAGCUGUACAUCUGUUCAGUUGCAAGGAAGACUACGUUGCAUUCCUACCCUGGCUCCUUUAUAUCCCAACAGGACUUUGAGCUUCACACAAUUUGGAGAAAGAAGAAUUCAGAGUAUGCCUAUUCAGUGCAGUGUGAGUAUGUCCUUUCAAACCAGUACCUCUUAUGCAUACAGGAUUCAGCAAGGCUUAAGGAUCUUCAGUGGGCACUGCCAUCAGUGCUGAGCUCCAUCAUCUACUUGUCUCAAAGGAGCUGCAGAAAGAAGAAUGGAAAACCAGUUUGCUAGACUGCACAAGGAAGUGGCAACAUUUCAUUGCUGGAGGUCUUUCAGAACAGAUGGGGAUCUAUCUUGCAAAGUCUGUCCUAGAGAGAAAGACUUUCUGAGCUUCCUUCCAGUCCUCCUCUUCUGUAUUCCACCUUCAAUAACAGACUUUUUAUUUGUUUGUUUGUUUGUUAUUUUUUUAUCUAACUGCUAAACUUCUGAGGGAGAGGGUGAAGUUGAAAUGUUACUCCAAGUUGGAACUGAUUCACAGCUCUGCUGCGGACAGACAACACAUGUAAUUUCAUCUUACUAUAAUGAUGUCUACAUUCCCCUGCUCAGCUGGGCAUUAGCUGUCAACAAAUAAAAGAUGUAGGCAUUUCUAGAUGAACUGGUUUAUUUAGCACCAGAUCAGUCAUGCAAGUCACUUAUUAAGAACAGACUUCCCAUCAUACAAGCACAUUCUUGUGUCAUAUUGGCAUUUUCAUACAAGCACAUAAGCAGGUAUAUUGGUCCCAAAUACAACACGCUUAUACAACAAAAUUUUCCAGGUUCUCUCUGGUUCAUUUACAGAGUAUCAGAAAGUUACUACACAAACAGGCUUAGUGUGAAGUAAAUGUGCACCAUCAAACAAGCAGUCCAUGAAUUUCUGUUAAGUCACUUAUGCCUUUACUAGUACAAGCAAUCAGUAUUGAUAGUACAGGUGUUCUUAGACAUAAAGUAGUAAAAGCAGGAGUCAGGUACACAGGACAUGGAGAUAAUUUGAAAAAGUCAGUACCAAGUCAGUAACAUAGUUAGUCAGUUUGUCUUAGCAGCACAUCCCCUACCAUUGCAUGAAUUAGCAUGAGCUCAAAGCUUUCCACACCAAGCUUCAGGGACAGGAGCCACCAGGAGCCAAUCAAGGCCAAGGAAGGCACUAGACCUUCACAAACUGAAUCCCCUCAGGAAAAGAACAGCUUAAGCUGGUGAGUGACUUGGCUAAGAGCUCCUUUGCAGGGCUCUGUAGCAGACAGCUGCACUCUGUUCAGAGCCUCCUAAGCUUGCAAGGACAUCCCAGCACAGAUGUGUGGAACAGAUGCAUUUCUUCUCCCCAGUAAGGAAGUAUCUUUCUUCCUCCUGCUCCUAUGCCUAGGCUGACUCAAUCACUCUUCCUAUUCUUAAAGACUGUUCUAUUUAUCUUAGUCCUAAGAACUCUAGUCAUGCCUUUCCAUUCCCAUCUUUCUCCUAAUCACUUUGGAGUUCACUUGCUCACUGGCAUAGGUCUCUUAACACUCUUUCUUCUGUCAAAAGAAAAUAGUGAAAGAGAGAGAGAGAGAGAGAGAGAGGGAGAAGAAAGUCCCCAAAAGUCCCCUUUGGAACAUUAAAAAAAAUUUCUGCUCCUUAAUCAGGAGCACUAGUAUGACUUCUCAUGAGGAGCAUGUGUUGUGAAUAACCAAAUGGUUCCUGUUAUGUGUAAUGGCACCAAGCUGGGAUUUGCUCACAGCAGCAAGCUCUUGUUUGAAAUUACUCUCAUAAGAGCUCUUAUGGUUUGCAGUCACUAUCCUCUUGCAGCCAGGCUGGUGAAGAUCUGAGCACAGCGAUCAAGGUGCCCAUCUCUGCAGUGAGGGCAGUAUGGUGGCAGUGCCCAACUAGGACAUCCUGCCAUGCUCUUUGGGUUCCCUGGGCCCUGCUGUUCCCCAGGUCCUGCUGUUACCCAGGCCAGUUCUUGGGAGGACAGCACUACAGAGAUAUAUGUUUUCUAAAUAUCCAUAUGCAUAUUGUCCACUCUGCUUAGUUUCAUGAAUGUUUCUCAACAGAGUUACAUUAAAAACUACUGCCAGCUUCUGGAGAAACAACACAGCUCUGAGGAAGACACAUCCAUAGCAAGCCAAGGCAAUGUCUGGGAGAUGCAUUAAUAAUAUAAACAGAACAGUUUUGGUUUCUAAUAAAUGAACAGUGAGGUCAGUUGUGAGUAUCUUCCACCUAAAUGAUUUACUUGCUCAUAUUUCAUAAGCACGAUUGAUUGACAGAAACAAGGGAACCUGAGACCCUGAAAAAAGGACUUAGAGACACUUCACCCCAUUUUGUUGUGCAGAGAAAGCUGAGGAGGAGCUCUAGAGCUCUAUUUGAUGUGCACUGUAGAAAAAUCCUCCUUUUCCUGCUGCAGGACUUUAUCGUUUGGCAGUGCUUAGGGAACUGCAGUGGUUGCACUGGUUUAUGUUAAGUUAGGAUUUGUAAGCAACAAAAUUAAGAAUUUUGGUUUUUGUUUUUCCUAGAUGCUUUGGUUCCAGCAGGUAUGGGACUUAAAUUUCUUGCAUUACCAUACAACUUCUUUGAGAUUAUAUUUGGAUGGUUGUGAGGUUUAUACACUCUGUAUUAAUCUGCUAAGACAUCAUCCCAUGAUUGCCUUUACUUCUGUGAUGAGGCCAAUUUAUUUAAUUCAUUAUAGUUAACAGCAAACAGAAGACAGAUCUUAACAGCGAUGUCUCAGAUAGACAACCAUAGACUUCUGCACUUCACUCUUUAUAUACCCAGUUUUGCUAGCUAAAUGUGGAUGAAACUGGAAAGUUGAUCACUGGACAUUUGCAAAAUCUAGAUCUCCUCUGUCCUGCCCAGGAGGAAGAAACAGAAUUCCUGUGUAGGAUUAUAACUGCGUGGCCUUGUCACAGCCAAUGUGCUUGGUGCUAUUGCUUUGAAAGAGAAUGAAAACAGCAUUCCUAGGGGCUGCUGUGUCAGAGAGGUGUGGCAGGCUUUGUGCACAACCAAUUUACAUUUCUUAGAUUAACACAGAAGCUUUAUUAUCAGCAGCAUUAGCUCUAAAGUCCAAGGGAGAGAUAAUACCAAGGGCUGGAGUGAUAAAGUAAUACUCUAAGCAUGAUUCUGAGGCAAAUGAAUAUGGCUCAGCGGCUACUGGAGAAUGUUGUCUCCGGAGAUCACAUGCCAUUCAUAGCUAUAAACCACUCCUAAGGGUUCGCCUUGCCUUUUGCAUUACCAGAGUAACUACCUGGAGCCUAAUACACACUAAUUUCAUUUAAGAGCUUCAUCUCAGUCCUGCUCAGCAAAGGGAUAAGGACUACAGUCAUCUUUCUAAUUUUCUUUCCCUAUGUGUAGCUAUGUAGGUGCAAUGAUUGAUUCUGCAGUGUUGUAUUAUAAAGCAGAUAUUUGUUCACAGCUCCAGCCAAUAAUAGGGACGAAAUAUUAUGAACAGACUUUUCUGCAUCUUCUGCCAAUACUCUAAGUGGCAAUGCUGCAAAAAUAAGAGUACAAUUAUUAUCAGCUGGUAUUAAGAUCUUUAGUCAUAUGUAGCACACACGACAUCUUUCAAGGUUCCUGAGCCCAGUGUUUCUUUAUGGUGACUAAACUCACAUCUUCACAGAAAGAAGACACAGCUGACUUAGCAGCCCCUGGUGCUGAGGAGCAGAACCUGCAUGGUACUCUUCUCACCUCACCUCACCACACUCUGAGCCUCUCAUGCCCUGCUCUGCCACAGCCCAAGAACUUGAGUCAGCCCAGGUGCCUUCCUUUUCUGUGUAAAACUAACACAAGGUGCAGAAUUAUCUUCUAGUUCCAACAUUUGUUGCACAGCUUUGUGCUACUUCUUUCACCCAGCUAUAUGCUCUUGAGAAAGGAAAUUAGGUGCCAGAAAACUGCAUGAUUCUAGGAAAUGGGGAGGAAAGGAGAUACCCCACCCUCACCCACCUGGACACUAACUAGUGAUAAGAGAUCAGCCAAGCACACUCCUACAGGCAAUAUGUUUAUACUUGAGCACUACACAGACUUUUGGAGCAAAAUCAGUCUAAGGAGGAGGCGUGAGCUCCUCAAUGCCCCAAGGUGAUACAGGUCUGUCAGAGCACAUGGAGCCUGCCAGAUGUGGGGUGGCUUCUUCCAUCUAGCAAAUGGCAGCCCUUCCUGGGCUGCAGCCAGGACACAGGAUGAGACAUAAGGCAGGAGAAAAGCAGGUCUCUAGCCUUGAGUGUGUGCUGGCAGCUGUUCUUGGAGCUCCACGUGGAAAUGUACAGUUUCACUCUCUGUGUACUAUCAUAUAAUUCUGCAGUGCUGCAGUAUCUCAGGCAAACAAACAACAACAACAAAAAAAUGUGGCUGCAACUUUCCAUUAUGGGAGAGCCUCUACAGCAUUUAAUAGGAGCAAACACGUAAUGCUUAAAGCUCCUUGGCCAACAAACAUCAACAAGAUAGAGGGCUGGACUCAUCUCCUACUCAUACACUCUAUGGCAGCUCUCACCACCUCACAGUGCUGUGCUGAUGUUGUCAGCCUGCUCCAGCCAUGUCCACAGCACACAAAGGGAAGAGGGCAAAGCAGUGCUCUUUUCCAGCUGUGUCUUGGUAGGAAGGAGUCAGAACUGGGGAAAACUUUUCCACCGUAUUCAUUAAUCUUUCAUACCUCCAUGCCCCUGACACUGAAUUUCAUCCAGAUGUGAUCUAUGUGUAUAGGAAUGUCAAACACUAAGGUUUCAGUUCCAGCUGAGUAAUGCUGGCAAAU